UGCCUGGUCUGGCUUUACUUACUUCCAGAGCUUCCUCCCCUCCCCCGGCGCUGAGGCUGAGUGAGACUACACACUUGCUCCACAUCUCCAAUCAAGGCACUUUAAGAAGCCUGCAGCCCUCAGUCUCAGCGCCUGAGUAUUGUCUACCCUUCCUAGAGGUAAAGACGCGUCUCCAAGCCAAAACCUUGUUUGUAUCAGUACCAGAACUUUGCUCCUCGUGACUCUUUUCAUGUUCUAUAACUCCCGUCUCCUCUGGUUUUUCCUGCAGUGUCUCCAGCCCACACGACAGCCAGCCAACCAGCCAACCGGACAUCCUCGUUUGCAUUUUCAACCUUUUGUUCAAC